rnacentral:rRNA from 1 species
GAUGAACGCUGGCGGCGUGCUUAACACAUGCAAGUCGAGCGAAGCGCUUUUGCGGAUUUCUUCGGAUUGAAGCAACUGUGACUGAGCGGCGGACGGGUGAGUAACGCGUGGGUAACCUGCCUCAUACAGGGGGAUAACAGUUGGAAACGGCUGCUAAUACCGCAUAAGCGCACAGUACCGCAUGGUACCGUGUGAAAAACUCCGGUGGUAUGAGAUGGACCCGCGUCUGAUUAGCUAGUUGGUGGGGUAACGGCCUACCAAGGCGACGAUCAGUAGCCGGCCUGAGAGGGUGACCGGCCACAUUGGGACUGAGACACGGCCCAAACUCCUACGGGAGGCAGCAGUGGGGAAUAUUGCACAAUGGGGGAAACCCUGAUGCAGCGACGCCGCGUGAGCGAUGAAGUAUUUCGGUAUGUAAAGCUCUAUCAGCAGGGAAGAAAAUGACGGUAC